GACCACGUGGCCAAGUGGGUAACGCUCUCGUUUUUGAAUCCAAAGGCACCCCCGGGUUCGGACCCAGGCAAGGUCA